rnacentral:misc_RNA from 1 species
AGAUGGAUCAUUCCAAUUCUUACUUACUUUGUUGGAUGUUGAAAGAGACAUUCUCAUUUGUGUUUUGUUUGAACAGCAACAGUGGGUAAUUUUCAUUGAGACAGUGAUCAUUAAAUGUGAAGUUUAAAAACUUUCAACGAUGGAUGUCUUGGGUCUCGUGACGAUGAAGAACGCAGCUAGCUGCGAUACGCAGUGUGACUUGCAACCUUCUGAGAACUAUUAGAUUUUUGAACGCAAAAGGUACUUUCAAUUUUAGUUGAAAGUAUGUUCACUUCAGUGCUUAUACUUUGUGUCACUUGCUACUAAUUUGACGUGUUUGGAAGCUGUAUUCAAUGUACAGGUUCUGAAGUUUCAGACCAUACCUCUGAAUAGUUCAUGCUAGAGUGAAGGUAUUCUACUGUAUUUAAUAAUACAAGUCUGAAGUUGAACAAGGCUACCCGCUGAAUUUAAGCAUAUUAAUAAGCGGAGGAAAAGAAACCAACAGGGAUUUCCUUAGUAACGGCGAGUGAACAGGAAUAAGCUCAACUUGAAAAUCGACAGUUAUGUGUCGAAUUGUAGUCUCACGAAGUGUUACCUGUGGACGCUUAGAGGUAAAUCUCUUGGAAUAGGGUACCAAAGAGGGUGAAAGUCCCGUCUUUACUCAAAGUUGUCUACGCUCGGUACAUUUUCUUAGAGUCGCGUUCUUUGCGAUUGGAGCGCUAAGUAGGUGAUAAACUUCAUCUAAAGCUAAAUAUUAACGAGACUCCGAUAGCAUACAAGUACCGUGAGGGAAAGAUGAAAAGGACUCUGGAGAGAGAGUUAAAAGGAACUGAAAUUGUUGAAAAGGAA